rnacentral:rRNA from 1 species
UUCGGGCGCCGGCGAGUGGCGAACGGGUGAGUAACACGUGGAGACCUAUCCAUUGGUGGGGGACAACAGCUGGAAACGGCUGCUAAUACCGCAUAAUCCCUACGGGGGAAAGAUUUAUCGCCAUAGGGGGGUUCCGCGUCGGAUUAGCUAGUUGGUGGGGUAACGGCCUACCAAGGCGACGAUCUGUAGCUGGUCUUAGAGGAUGAUCAGCCACACUGGGACUGAGACACGGCCCAGACUCCUACGGGAGGCAGCAGUGGGGAAUAUUGCGCAAUGGGGGAAACCCUGACGCAGCGAUGCCGCGUGGGUGAAGAAGGCCUUAGGGUUGUAAAGCCCUUUCAGUGGGAACGAUAGUGACGGUACCCACAGAAGAAGCCCCGGCUAACUCCGUGCCAGCAGCCGCGGUAAUACGGAGGGGGCGAGCGUUGU